rnacentral:rRNA from 1 species
UCGGCGGGUGAGUAACGCGUGAGAAUUUACCUUUAGGAGGGGGAUAACAACUGGAAACGGUUGCUAAUACCCCAUAUGCUUUCGAGUGAAAUGGAUUUCCGCCUAAAGAGAAGCUUGCGGCUGAUUAGCCUGUUGGUGAGGUAAUGGCUCACCAAGGCGACGAUCAGUAUCUGGUUUGAGAGGAUGAUCAGACACACUGGAACUGAGACACGGUCCAGACUCCUACGGGAGGCAGCAGUGGGGAAUUUUCCGCAAUGGGCGAAAGCCUGACGGAGCAAUACCGCGUGAGGGAUGACUGCCUAUGGGUUGUAAACCUCUUUUUUCAGGGAGGAAUCAAUGACGUGUACCUGAAGAAUAAGCAUCGGCUAACUCCGUGCCAGCAGCCGCGGUAAGACGGAGGAUGCAAGUGUUAUCCGGAAUCACUGGGCGUAAAGCGUCUGUAGGUGGUCAAAUAAGUCAACUGUUAAAUCUUGAGGCUCAACCUCAAAAUCGCAGUCGAAACUAUUAGACUAGAGUAUAGUAGGGGUAAAGGGAAUUUCCAGUGGAGCGGUGAAAUGCGUAGAGAUUGGAAGGAACACCAAUGGCGAAGGCACUUUACUGGGCUAUUACUAACACUCAGAGACGAAAGCUAGGGUAGCAAAUGGGAUUAGAUACCCCAGUAGUC